rnacentral:rRNA from 1 species
CCUACGAGAGGCAGCAGUGGGGGAUAUUGCACAAUGUGGGUAACCCUGAUGCAGCGACGCCGCGUGAGUGAAGAAGUAUUUAGGUAUGUAAAGCUCUAUCAGCAGGGAAGAAAAUGACAGUACCUGACCGCGAAGCCCCGGCUACCUACGUGCCAGCAGCCGCGGUAAUACGUAGGGGGCAAGCGUUAUCCGGAUUUACUGGGUGUAAAGGGAGCGUAGACGGUUAUGUAAGUAUGGAGUGAAAGCCCGGGGCCCAACCCCGGGACUGCUUUGGACACUGUGUAACUGGAGUACAGGAGGGGCAGGCGGAAUUCCUGGUGUAGCGGUGAAAUGCGUAGAUAUCAGGAGGAACACCGGCGGCGAAGGCGGCCUGCUGGACUGAAACUGACGUUGAGGCUCGAAAGCGUGGGGAGCGAACAGGAUUAGAUACCCCUGUAGUC